rnacentral:lncRNA from 13 species
AUUGAGGGCAGGGCCCCAUGCCUAAUGAGCUAGAAGGCUGGCUUGCCCAUCAACCAAAAGUCAACAGGCACAGCAGUGACUACCAAGUAGCCUUCAAACCAAAGGAUCCUCACUGAAAUGGACAAUCUUCAGGAAACAUCCACAAGCACCCAGACGUUACCUGGAAAAGGGAAGGAGGAGAGAUGGGCACCGAGAGCCCGAGUGUGGGUCCCUAGAGAGACUGAGUUAUGUUUUAAGUCUGAAUCAAGCCAUGCUUAAAUGGCAAAAUUAAAUUUUUUCAACCAUCAGUAGAAAUAGAGGUUCAAGGGAAAGUCGAGAUCAGUCUUUAAAAAAUAAAGAGAAACUGACCAGGGUAGCACUUCUCAGAGCAUCAAUCCUGACUAAGGUCGUUAUCGCUUCAGUUUGCCCAGGAUGGUCCCUCUAGACGCUUCUCCCAGGAAGACCAGCAGCUCCCCUUUCACUCUCGACAGGUUUGGAUUGGUAUGAUUUGUAAGGUCUCCUCAGUCAUGACCUGUUCAAUUUCAAAUGCUUUGUCUAGGAUUGCUGAGGCUUGUUAUGUAGGUUCAUACCACUGAAUAACAACAAUUCUAAAUGACAGAACGGAACUGUGCAUCAAAUAGGGUGCAGAGCAGAGGUGAGCCUUCAGAAGCAAGAGCGAUGUUGAAAACAGAGCUGUCAGUUUUCCCAGAGGACCUGGAGAAGAGCUUCACCCAGCAUGCAGUCCAAGGUGAAUUAGAGAACUGGACUAAAUAUUUAAAGAAAAACAUUCUAUGGAUAAUUUGUUUGGAUUUUCUCUUUUAGAUGGAGUCUCACUCUGUAGCCAGGCUGGAGUUCAGUGUCGUAAUCUCAGCUCACUGCAAACUCCGCCUCUCGGGCUCAAGCAAUUCUCCUGCCUCAGCCUCCCAAAUAGCUGGGAUUACAGGCACCCGCCACUACGCCCAGUUGGUGCAGAAGAGUACACAUCGAUCAUACAAAAAGAAAAUUCACCAGGAAGGGUACAGAUAAUGGAAGUGCUUAAAAAUAGUCCUAAAUCUGUCAAUAUUUUAUUUUAUUUUAUUUAUUUAUUUUUAUUUUUUGAGACGGAGUUUCGCUCUUGUUACCCAGGCUGGAGUGCAAUGGCGGGAUCUCGGCUCACCGCAACCUCCACCUCCUGGGUUCAGGCAAUUCUCCUGCCUCAGCCUCCUAAGUAGCUGGGAUUACAGGCACGCGCCACCAUGCCCAGCUAAUUUUUUGUAUUUUUAGUAGAGACGGGGUUUCACCAUGCUGACCAGGAUGGUCUCCAUCUGUUGACCUCGUGAUCCACCCACCUCGGCCUCCUAAAGUGCUGGGAUUACAGGCCUGAGCCACCGCGUCCGCCCAACAUUUUAAAUUCAGACCUUAUGGGGUCCAAAGUGGCUCCCGCCGGAGGUCGUGGCGCUUGCGAAGGCGAGGUCAUGAGUUCAAGGCUAACCUGAUCAACCUCAAGCUCAAACUGAUUGGCAAAAAAUAAAUAAAUAAAUAAAAAUAAAUUCA